rfam:Glossina fuscipes fuscipes unplaced genomic scaffold Scaffold820, whole genome shotgun sequence.
CACUCUAAGCGGUGGAUCACUCGGCUCAUGGGUCGAUGAAGAACGCAGCAAACUGUGCGUCAUCGUGUGAACUGCAGGACACAUGAACAUCGACAUUUUGAACGCAUAUCGCAGUCCAUGCUGUAAGGUACUUUAAUUAAAUUUUUGAAGUACUGCUUGGACUACAUAUGGUUGAGGGUUG